rnacentral:rRNA from 1 species
ACGAACGCUGGCGGCGUGCUUAACACAUGCAAGUCGAACGGAAAGGCCCUGCUUUUGUGGGGUGCUCGAGUGGCGAACGGGUGAGUAACACGUGAGUAACCUGCCCUUGACUUUGGGAUAACUUCAGGAAACUGGGGCUAAUACCGGAUAGGAGCUCCUGCUGCAUGGUGGGGGUUGGAAAGUUUCGGCGGUUGGGGAUGGACUCGCGGCUUAUCAGCUUGUUGGUGGGGUAGUGGCUUACCAAGGCUUUGACGGGUAGCCGGCCUGGGAGGGUGACCGGGCACAUUGGGACUGAGAUACGGACCAGACUCCUACGGGAGGCAGCAGUGGGGAAUAUUGCACAAUGGGCGGAAGCCUGAUGAAGCGACGCCGCGUGCGGGAUGACGGCCUUCGGGUUGUAAACCGCUUUCGCCUGUGACGAAGCGUGAGUGACGGUAAUGGGUAAAGAAGCACCGGCUAACUACGUG